rnacentral:rRNA from 1 species
AUUGAACGCUAGCGGCAUGCCUUACACAUGCAAGUCGAACGGCAGCGGGGGAGCUUGCUCCCGCCGGCGAGUGGCGAACGGGUGAGUAAUACAUCGGAACGUACCCAGUAGCGGGGGAUAGCCCGGCGAAAGCCGGAUUAAUACCGCGUACGCCCUACGGGGGAAAGUGGGGGAUCGCAAGACCUCUGACUAUUGGAGCGGCCGAUGGCUGAUUAGCUAGUUGGUGGGGUAAAGGCCUACCAAGGCGACGAUCAGUAGCUGGUCUGAGAGGACGACCAGCCACACUGGGACUGAGACACGGCCCAGACUCCUACGGGAGGCAGCAGUGGGGAAUUUUGGACAAUGGGCGAAAGCCUGAUCCAGCAAUGCCGCGUGUGCGAAGAAGGCCUUCGGGUUGUAAAGCACUUUUGUCGGGGAAGAAAUCGUUUGGGUUAAUACCCCGAGCAGUUGACGGUACCUGAAGAAUAAGCACCGGCUAACUACGUGCCAGCAGCCGCAGUAA